rnacentral:rRNA from 1 species
GAUCAUGGCUCAGAUUGAACGCUGGCGGCAGGCCUAACACAUGCAAGUCGAACGGUAACAGGAAACAGCUUGCUGUUUCGCUGACGAGUGGCGGACGGGUGAGUAAUGUCUGGGAAACUGCCUGAUGGAGGGGGGAUAACUACUGGAAACGGUAGCUAAUACCGCAUAAUGUCGCAAGACCAAAGAGGGGGGACCUUCGGCCGUCCUUGUCCACUCGGAUGUGCCCACGAUGGGAGUUAG